rnacentral:rRNA from 1 species
GUUGAACGCUGGCGGCAGGCCUAACACAUGCAAGUCGAACGGUAGCACAGAGAGCUUGCUCUCGGGUGGCUAGUGGCGGACGGGUGAGUAAUGUCUGGGAAACUGCCCUAUGAAACGGGAUAACUACUGGAAACGGUAGCUAAUUCCGCAUAAUGUCGCAGGACCGAAUAGUGGAACUUUCAAGCCUCUUGCCGUCGGAUCUUCCCGCGGGGGAUUAGCUAGUUGGUAAGGUAACGGCUCACCAAGCCUACGAGGCAUAGCCGAUCUGAGAGGGUGAUCGGCCACACUGGAACUGAGACACGGUCCAGACUCCUACGGGAGGCAGCAGUAGGGAAUCUUCCGCAAUGGGCGAAAGCCUGACGGAGCAACGCCGCGUGAGUGAUGAAGGUCUUCGGAUCGUAAAACUCUGUUAUUAGGGAAGAACAUAUGUGUAAGUAACUGUGCACAUCUUGACGGUACCUAAUCAGAAAGCCACGGCUAACUACGUG